rnacentral:rRNA from 1 species
CAGCCGCCGCGGGAAUACGGAGGGGGCUAGCGUUGUUCGGAAUUACUGGGCGUAAAGCGCACGUAGGCGGCUUUGUAAGUUAGAGGUGAAAGCCCGGAGCUCAACUCCGGAAUUGCCUUUAAGACUGCAGAGCUAGCAGGUGAGAGAGGUGAGUGGAAUUCCGAGUGUAGAGGUGAAAUUCGUAGAUAUUCGGAAGAACACCAGUGGCGAAGGCGGCUCACUGGCUCAUACUGGACGCUGAGGUGGGAAAGCGUGGGGAGCAAACAGGAUUAGAUACCCGCGUAGUCCCUGUCUCUUAUAC